AUGCAGUCAAAGAAGAGAGGUCUUUCAUUGGAAGAGAAGCGUGAACAGAUUCUUCAAAUAUUUUACGUGUCCCAAGACUUUUUCCUUCUGAGAGAGCUUGAGAAGUUGGGUCCCAAGAAAGGCGUCAUCACUCAGUCUGUGAAAGAUGUCGUCCAAAGUCUGGUCGAUGAUGACCUUGUUAUGAAAGACAAGAUUGGCAGUUCCAUAUACUUUUGGAGUCUUCCUAGCUGUGCUGGAAAUCAGUUGAGGAAUGCUCACUGCAAGCUAGAAUCUGAUCUUGCGAGCAGCAAGAAGCGUUUGGCAGAACUUCUUGAACAGAGGGAUAGUUUGAAGAAGGGUAGAGAGGAGUCUGAUGAGCGAGAGGUUGCUUUAGAUGAACUGAAGGCUAUAGAGCAGACACAUAAAACACUAAAGGAUGAACUGGGCCUUUAUGCAGACAAUGAUCCAGCUGCCCUUGAAGCAAUGAAAAAUGCGACUGAGAUUGCUCACUCUGCAGCAAAUAGAUGGACAGACAACAUCUUCACAGUGCAACAUUGGUGCUCAAGUAAUUUCCCCGAGGCCAAAGAGCAGCUUGAACACAUGUACAAGGAGGUAGGAAUAACAGAUAGUUUGGAUUAUUUGGAGUGAUCACCUGUUUUCUUGAAGUUGAUUGCUCAUCAGUUGCUGGCAGUCUCAACAAAGGCUUUCUACUUUUCAUAAGUUGCGGAAUAAAGGCAUCAGGAGAGACCAAAGAGAGGAGAAGUUGAUGAGUAGGUUCAUUAUAAGUAGAAACUAAGAUAAGUUACUUGUGGCAUAAGUAACUUAUCUUAAGCAACUUACAAUCCAAACGGGCCCUAAAUGUCAAAGAUCUUGAGUGGAUGCUAAGAAAAGUCCCCAUGGAGCAAGUGGGAUUGGGCAGGGUAAGGAUAAAUUGCUUUAAACACAAAACAAUGAUCCAACUUGCUGUCAACUCAAAACAAUUAAUUGACAUUGUGAUCAAUAUGACUCAUCUUUUGUGGGUGGUUAAUAGGAGGUUCUACAAAUUCAGUGCCUGAAAUAUAUUUGCAACUUCAUGGGGGUCCUUUGGAUUCAGUUGAAUUUAAUCCAGCUUUGUCGGCAUGGAUCAGUGCAUCAGUUUUAUUGUUUUAGUUGUCUGUACAUGUGGCCAACAUGUGCGAGAUCCAGACCAAUCAUCAGCUAGGCCCUAACCCUGGAUGGGCAAUGUUCGCACCAAUUUCAACUGUCCAUUUGCUUUCCCCAAAAGUCCCCAAUGCAAUCGUUGUUGUUGACUGAUACAUAUGAUUUUUUUUUUCCUAUCCAUAGUUGAGAGUACCUGAUGAUUGGUUCAGAUGUUGCACAUUUUGCCACGUGUGAGUGUUUACUUAGAAGUUAGUGGAGAAAAAUUCGGCAAAUGCCAGUCUUCCAAAAGAAAAGUAGGUGUGGUUAUUCCGUUGGCGAAGGUUGCUUUUGGUCUCGGGCCCAUAGUGCCUGGACGUGUUUCCACAUUUGAAGUGAGCACACAUGGCAUUUCUCUAAUUUCCAUUUGUCCCAAAGUCCUAGAAUGUGUGUCAUGUAUACUCUCAAAUGUAGUCCCGGUCAUGGAUGGGUGUUUAGGCCAAAGUCCCAUUGAUAAACUUAUUCUAUCCGUGUCCUGGGGACAUCAAAUGGAUGGUUAAAAUGAAAAUGGCUCGUGGGCCAAACUCAUCGUAUCUCUAACCAUGCUUCAUCAAUCUUGGGCCAUUUUCUAGCCGUGCCUGCUCACGUUUUGUACAUUGUGGCCUACAUGAGGAGUGACAUGGCCCUGUUUUUAAUUUUUUAAUUUUUUAGCGAGAACUAUUUAACGUGGGGCCCUUGAAGUAUUGCAUCUCUUACAUGAGUGGCAUACCAGCAAAUAAAUACUCCGAUUCAGUGCAUGUGGGGCUCAUGAUUUGGACUGGCCAUGGAUGGGAACCCUCGGGGAUCUUCAGAUCUCAGCACUUUCAUUUUGUGGCCCAAAAAUAUAUGGUCGAGUAUACAAAGCAUGGCAAGGAUCCACAUUCAUCUGAACAAGGACUAAAUAUUACCGUUAAAAUAUUUAAACCUUGGAGGAUUCGAGGGAAUUAUCCAUCCAAAGUGAGGCCCAUCAUUUGAACGGUUUAGAUCAUCAAAAUAUUAGCCCUACAUGCAAGGAAUCUAGCUCAUCAUGAAGCUACGUCACUUUGUCAGGCGAGCUGGACUUCACCCUGUUCUACUCACUUGCUAUGCACCACGCUCGGGACGCGACUUGCCUGUGCCCCCUGGACACAGGAAGUUCCUGUGGUCGUGGGAAGCUAUGUGGGGCCAACAGGGAUGCCUGUGACAAAUCCACUCUGUCCAUCAGUUUAUAGGACAUAAGUCCAAAAAUCAGGCAGAUCCAGAACUCGAGUGGGCCACGCCACACGAAACGGUGGGGCUUGAACGGGAGCGGAUUAGCGGUUACAUGGGUAACGGCUUAGUGGGUGUUACCUUACCGUGUGGGGCCCGCCUUGAUGAAUUUGUUUCAUAUCUACACUGCCCAUCUGUUUUUUCAGCUCGUUUAAGGACGUUAUUCCAAAGGUUGAACAGAUCCAAAUCUCGGGUGGACCACGCGAUAGGAAAAGGUGGUGAAUGACCAUUAAAAGCUUUUUGUAGGCCAUAAAAGUUUUGGAUCAAGCCAAUCUUUGUAUUUCCCUUCAUCCAGUUCUGUUUGACAUUAUCAACGGGUUGGAUGACAGUUAAAUAUUACGGAUUUGGUUACGGUGGGCCUUGGGAAGUUUUCAAUGGUGAGCGUUCAAUUAUCACCGUUUCCAGUGGUGUCGUCCACCUGAGAUUUGGAUGUGCUUAAUGUUUGGGACAGCGUCUUAAGGGAUGGAAAAACGAAUGGACAGAGUGGAUAUACAGCAUAUCAUCAAAGUGGCCCCCACGGUAAGGUAACACCACACCCACUGAGGUGUUACCCGGGUAACAGGUAAUCCGCGCCAGGAUUAAACGGCCUCCAUUGGAAACUGUGGGGGCCUCAGAAGUUUUGUAUCAGAAUUAUAUUUAUACCUACAGUUUAUCCGAGAGGUAAUAGCCCUAUGAACGGUUUGGAUAUCGGGUCUAGGCAGGUUUCAACGGUCUACAUUUUUGUUCUCACUGUUUCGUGUGGUGUGGCCCACCUGAUUUUUGGACUAUUGUGAUCUUGAGAAACUGAUGGACGGAGUGGAUUUGUCACGGCCAUAUCUGUGGGCCUGAGCCAGAGCCCCAUCCAACGAUCAAUACGAGCCGAAGCCAGUGGCCACUCCAACGAUCAAUGCGUGAGAAAAACGUUGAUACUCUGGCAGAUCGUGAUGGAUGAUACGCAAUCGCUCGAAUAUGAAACACGUGGCAUAUUUAUAACUAAAGUUAAACCAUCCAGACAGUGGGACACAACUUAGAUGGUUCAGAAAAGAAUAAACAUGUUAAAGCGAUGCCAGAUUAGCCGUAUAUCUAACGACAGUGAACGAGAAAUGAUCAUUGGUUUUAAUUAAACAAAAAUAUCUUCAUAAAUCAGAUAUCUUACAAUCAUUAAAAUACUGUUUUUUAGUUAACAUUACAGCUCGUCUAGCUGGCUUUCCAUACAUGUUACGUUUAAGAAUGCAAGCCCCCGUGUAUCAUACACCAUACGCUGUAAAGAGUAUCAAAACACAUUUCAAAUGUCCUAAGAUUCUCUCGGAAACAUUUCGAAUUUCAAAAACCAAGAGAGGGAACGAGAAUAUCCCGGCAGCCAAUCAUUUCACUCAGCGUGUGAGAUGUAACUCCUACCGUCCCAAUAAUGCCAUAGAACGUGCGUUGCAACCCAUCCGUCCACGCGUCGAAAGCCGAUAGGCGGAAUCACUGGCGACCGGCCCAUAUACAACAAUAACAGUUGUCAGCCAGUCUGGCAGUUUUCAGAUUCGUGUUUUUUGAGGCCCGCUCUCGUUUUAAGCAGACUCGAGAGAGGCGGAAACAGAGAGCAAGAGAGAAAAAUAUUGGGAAAUAGGGUUAGGGUUUUGCAAUGGAGUUGAUGAGAGUUUCAUUUACAGUAAUGACGAUUUUGGCUCUCGUUGUAGCCAUAAAUGCUCAGAGUAGCAGCAGCCCUGCUCCUGCCCCUGCAAGCGACGGGGUAGCGAUAGAUCAAGGGAUAGCGUAUGUGCUGAUGUUGGCUGCCCUCGUUCUCACAUAUCUCAUUCAUUGAAAUAGAAUAUUGAGAGAUGUUUGGGUUUCUAAUAUUCGUUGUAUCAUAUGCAUGUUUUCUCUAUUCUUCCUCCCUCAUUCUUGCCCUCUUCUCUUGAUACCAUCUCUUUCUUUCUUUUACAUUUCCUUUUGUUGUUCAUGCACUGCUACUGAUAUCGGUAUCUUGGUAGGUGGAACUUGUUGUUGUUGCAUUCUUUUAUAAAAUUGGAUUGUUGGUUUUUUUUU